rnacentral:rRNA from 1 species
CCUACGGGCUGCAGCAGUGGGGAAUAUUGGGCAAUGGGCGCAAGCCUGACCCAGCAACGCCGCGUGAAGGAAGAAGGCUUUCGGGAUGUAAACUUCUUUUAAGCAGGAGUAGAAGAAAACGGUACCUCUUGAAUAAGGCACGGCUAACUACAUACCAGCAGCAGCGGUAUUACGUAGGUGGAAAGCAUUUUCCGGAUUUACUGGGUUUAAAGGGCGUGCGGCCUGUAAGGCAAGUCAGUUGGGAACUCCCGGGGCUCAACCGCGGAAGUGCAUUUGACACUGUUUUUCUUGAGUACCGGAGAGGUCAUCGGAAUUCCUUGUGUAGCGGUGAAAUGCGUAGAUAUAAGGAAGAACACCAGUGGCGAAGGCGGAUGACUGGACGGCAACUGACGGUGAGGCGCGAAAGCGUGGGGAGCAAACAGGAUUAGAUACCCUUGUAGUC